rnacentral:lncRNA from 1 species
CUGUAAAUUUAUUUUUUAGAAGUAACUGUUAAUUAAUAUUAAUUUUAACCAUGACUUUGGUUUCAGAGUUAUAAGCCAAAAUCUACAUUUUACCCUGUGUUCUAUUUUUAGCCAUGGCGGCCAUCUUGGUUGGUUGGCCGGGUCAACAAAUAAAGUUAUUUUAUAUUUUAAUACUUUAUGAUGUAUUUAAAUGAAUAGUUAUUGUUGCCAACUUAUUUAGAAAUUUGAAUUGAGAUUAUUUUUGGAAUAAGGGAGUGGGGAGGUGAAAAAAAUGGGGACGGGUGGUGGUGUAAAAAUUUUCUCAUUUUAGAUUUCAGAAAUUAAAAAGAAUUUUUCUUCAAUUUUUUUUUUAGGGGAUAGUGUAUUGCUCAAAAGCAGAUUAUUUUUUUCAAGUUCAUUAGACCACAUUCAUUCUGUGUCAGAAACCUUUGCUGUGUCCACUAUUUGAUCACAAUCCAAAUUCAGAGCUGAAUCAAGCUUGAAUGUUGUGUCAAUACUUGCCCCAACUGUUCAGGGUUCGACCUCUGUGGUCCUAUAAAGCUGCGCUCUGCGGAACAUCUGGUUGCUUUUUUCAUGGCAGCGGUGGCUAUUUUUGAAUUUCAAAGUCAAAAGUCUCAUCAAGAAAAGUGGGAGUUACCAAUCAUAUUAAGUUUCAUCAAUUUUGGAGCAUUUUGAAAGUUU